AUACGUAGGGGGCAAGCGUUAUCCGGAAUUAUUGGGCGUAAAGAGUGCGUAGGUGGUUACCUAAGCAGGGGGUGAAACGCACUGGCUUAACCAAUGUCAGCCCCCUGAACUGGGCUACUUGAGCGCAGGAGAGGUAAGUGGAAUUCCUAGUGUAGCGGUGAAAUGCGUAGAUAUUAGGAGGAACACCAGUGGCGAAGGCGACUUUCUGGACUGUUACUGACACUGAGGCACGAAAGUGUGGGGAGCAAACAGGAUUAGAUACCCUGGUAGUCCACACCGUAAACGAUGAGCACUAGGUGUCGGGGGAGCAAUUUCUCGGUGCCGCAGUUAACGCAUUAAGUGCUCCGCCUGGGGAGUACGUACGCAAGUAUGAAACUCAAAUGAAUUGACGGGG
rnacentral:rRNA from 1 species